rnacentral:rRNA from 1 species
AUAAGUGGGACCUGGUCAGUGUUAAAUAAUAAAUAAAAUAAAAAAAAAUAUGAAAUAUUUAAUAAACACACGCCUUAUCCUGAGGGUGAAAAUGUAGCAUAAUUAUUUGGCAUUUAAUUGAUGUCUAGUAUGAAUGGUGAAACGACUUAUACACUGUCUCAAUUUUUUUUAAUUGAAUUUAAAUAUAUAGUGAAAAUACUAUAUAAAAAAUAUAAGACGAGAAGUCCCUAUAAACUUUUACUAUAUAAAAAUAAUAAAAAUUUUUUGAAUAUAGUUUGACUGGGGUGGUCGUCUUUUAAAAAAACAAAGAUUAUUUUUUAAUUAAAAAAAAUUUUUUUUAAUAUACUUUUUUAUUAAAUAUAUAUAUUUAAUAUUAUUAAAAAAUUAAAAUAAUGACCUCUUUUUAAUAAAAAUAUAUUAAAAAACUUUAAAAAAUAAAAAGUACUUUAGGGAUAACAGCGUAAUUCUAUUUCGAGAUCUUAUUUGAAUAUAGAGUUUGCGACCUCGAUGUUGGCUUAAGAUAUCCUGAAGGUGAUAGAGGCUUUCAAAGGUAG